UACGGGGGGAGCAAGCGUUGUUCGGAUUUACUGGGCGUAAAGGGCGCGUAGGCGGCCACCGCGAGUCAAUUGUGAAAUCUCCGGGCUCAACCCGGAACGGGCAACUGAUACUGCGGGGCUAGAGUGCAGAAGGGGCAACUGGAAUUCUCGGUGUAGCGGUGAAAUGCGUAGAUAUCGAGAGGAACACCGGUGGCGAAGGCGGUUCUCUGGGCCUGACCUGACGCUGAGGAGCGAAAGCGUGGGGAGCGAACAGG
rnacentral:rRNA from 1 species